rnacentral:rRNA from 1 species
AUACGUAGGUGGCGAGCGUUGUCCGGAAUUACUGGGCGUAAAGGGCGCGUAGGCGGCCUGUCAAGUCAGAUGUGAAAUCCCCGGGCUUAACCCGGGAACUGCAUUUGAAACUGGCGGGCUUGAGGGCAGGAGAGGAAAGCGGAACUCCCAGUGUAGCGGUGAAAUGCGUAGAUAUUGGGAGGAACACCAGCGGCGAAGGCGGCUUUCUGGACUGUCACUGACGCUGAGGCGCGAAAGCCAGGGGAGCGAACGGGAUUAGAUACCCCGGUAGUCCUGGCUGUAAACGAUGGGUACUAGGUGUUGGGGGUAUCGACCCCUCCAGUGCCGCAGUUAACGCAUUAAGUGUUCCGCCUGGGGAGUACGGCCGCAAGGCUAAA